GAUCGGCCGUGAUGAUUGAUUAUAUACAGCUUAAAAUGCCAGUUCUGCUUCUGAAAAUCCUUGAUUGAUAGAGCUGUUAAAUACUCUGAGCUUAUU